GAGCGGUUAAUUGAACAUGGGGUGGGGGGUCUUGUAGUCUACUGUGAGCCACAGAGGAUGGAGUGAAUGUAAUUUCCCAUUUUAAUCAAAGGCUGCAGCAGGUGGUUUCACCUAUUAGCUCCUACUCCGGUCUUGCACUGACAGGAUGCCUUUAGGUGACACUGCUUGAUGCUGUAUGGCUAAAAAUGGCAAAGCAAAUUUGGAACUCCGUUCGCGCGCUGAGGGGGGAGGCGACAGGAGGGACAGCAGUGACAGACACACCUUCAGACCUUCGCCGACUGCAGCUCUCACAUCUCGCCGACAGCUGGAUGUGCGCUUGCGUUCAGGAAAUUUUAGAUGCAGCUGGGCCCGCUCCGCCCCAACCUCUCCACCACCCCCACCAUCUCCUCCCCUUACUCCUCCUGGGAGUGCUAAAUCUUAAAUGAGAGCACUGUGUCACACAAUUGUGCAAACCAUUUAUAAUUUGUUUUUAUUUCGUGUCCAGACUUGAUCCGCUGAAACUAGAUACGUGCGCGCGCUAAUAAAGUCGUCACGUGUCGAUAAUCUCGGGGGCGGGUUUUUUUUUGUUUGUUUGUUUUGGGGUUUUUUAAUGCUUUUUUCGUCCUUCCAAAGAAACGAGGCGCACAGAAUGCGCCUUUUGUUUCAUACUUGUUUUUUUGUAAGCCAGGGCAGCUUGAAAUAAUCAGCUUUAUGCGUAUUCACAACUUCUGGGUUGUGAGAAACUCCCAUUUGGCUAUUUUGGACAACCUGUUACUGCAAUUACUGAACAGUUGCCACUGUUUUCAGUAGCCUUGUUAUGAAUUAAUGUGCAAGCUCUAUGUAACUGUGCGUGUGGCUGAUAAUGCAUCAGCUAGAAGAAAUGUUGACUUUAAUGUGCAGCGGCAUAUCCUCAUGAUCUCCCAGAUUUAGGAAUAAAGGCAAAACUCAUAUUACAAUAGUUUCAUUCUGCCGCAUGUCAGGAUCUGUCAAAUUUUUGUCGAUAGUGAUUUUAGUUAUAUUCUUGCUAUUAAGUUGAUAUCACCAAAAAUAGGUACAUAUGAAAACCAAAUAAGAUUUUGAAAUCCAUAAUAAUAUGUUUUAAGCAAGUUAAUGUUUCAACGCAUUAUAGCGGGUGAGUUCCCAGUAACCCCCACCCCCCGGUUGCGCCCUGGAAACCAGUGAUAUUAAAAUGCUAUGAGGAUUGUUUUUGAUACUUGGAUGAAAAAUCCACUGCAGUGAAUGGCUGAUUGAAGUCUAGAAGCCAAAGACAUCACCAAAUGCUGCAUUUGCUCCCUUGAGACGCCGGGCUUUUACUGCAGUCGCCUUCAGCUGCUGCUUGUUUCAUUCAGUUUUGUAUUUAAUACCUAACAAGCUGAUCUUCUGGGUAGAGAUUAGGUGACUGUCUUUGACGCUGGGCUGCUUUUGCACUAUGCUUUGGGUCCUUAUCCGUUAUCGCUGUGAAGUACUGUCUGAUCAGUUUUGCAGCAUUCGGCUGAAACUGAGCAGAGUAUCGCCUUGUAUGCUUCACAAUUCGUCCUGUUGCUUCUAUCAGCCGUUACAUCAUCUAUAAACACUAGUGGCCCUGUUCCACAUAGGGCCAUACAUUCCCAUGCCGCAGCAUUGCCUCCAACAUGUUUGACAAAUGAUGAUCAUCAGCUGUUUCUCUCCUUUUCCAUGCUUUUCUUUCCUAUCAUUCUGGUACAAGUUAGUCUUGGUUUCAUCUGUCCAAAGAUUUUGUUUUUUUCCUUUUGUAGAACUGUGCAGGCUUAUUUAGGUGUUUUCUAUCAACCCCUAAUCUGAAAUUCUUGCACUUGAAGUUGUGAGCUGUUUUUCUUAUUUGAGGAAAUGAUUCUGCAAUCAUGCACUGGCCUAAGGGCCUUCAGGCCUUUUGGUCUUCAGUCUUUUUAAGAGUGAAUCAGAAUGUCGAUUUGACCACUGCUAAAGUCUUUGCUGUCUCUCUGAUUGCUUUAUUUUGGUUUUUCAGCCUAAUGAUGUGUUCCCUAACUUACUUCAACAUCUCUUUGGACCUCAUAAAACCAUCCAGUGAAAACUAUCAAAUGCAAGCUCAACACUUAGGUAAAGGACAUGCAUUUGAUUCCAUCUCGAAAUAAUGAGGGAACAUGUCUCAGUUAGCCAUGAAAAAGUUUGUCAGUUAGUUGUCCAGUAAGUUUUGUGCCUCUUGAAAAGAGGGAUUGUGUUUUAAAAUGGCUGUUAUUCCUAAGCAAGUAAUGCAAUACUUUUGUUAAACCCUUUGAAUUAAAGCUGAAAAUCUGUACUUCAA